GUUUUGGCCCAGUGCUUCGACCGCUAGUGCGACGCGCGAAGCUCGCCAGGUGUGGUCACGUGGCGGGCUGCGGGCGACGAGGCCCUCCCUGCGCUUUCAGCCUGCCUGGUGACUGGGCGGGAACGGACGGCGCCCUAUACCUCACCUUUACCUGGUGAUCUGGAGGCAAAACAUACCAGCGGAAGUCCCUGGGGAAUCCUGACAUUGAAAGAGCCCUGCUGUCAGAGGCCCUGAGUGGCUUUGGAUGAUGACCAUUUUAAAGAUGAUGAAACUGAGGCUCAGGAGAUUAUAUAAUUUAUUCGAGGGUGCAGCCGGACGUGGUUGCUGUGAGCCCUGGAAGGCGGAGCUCUGCCCCUGCAACCUCCCCAAGACUGAGCUCCACAAGGUAACGCCCCAGGAGACGAAAUGACUUCUCCAAGGUCACAGAAUUGACCAGUGGCAAAACUGGAACUAUAACCUUCAGGCGUUCUUCUUUGGUUUAACAGACAUUUUUUGCGUACCUAUUAGAUGUCAGGCACUGUUGUAGGCCCUGAAAACAUCAGUAAGGAUAAAAGGCCUGCCCUCCUGGAGCUUACAUUCUAGUGGAGGAGAUAGACAAUAAAAACACUGAAUACAAAUAAGGCUAUGAAGAAUAAUUAGGGGCUGGCCCCAGGGCCGAGUAGUUAAGUUUGUUCACUCUGCU